rnacentral:rRNA from 1 species
UACGGAGGAGGCAAGCGUUAUCCGGAAUUAUUGGGCGUAAAGCGUCCGCAGGUGGCACCUCAAGUCUGCUGUCAAAGACCGGGGCUUAACCCCAGAAAGGCAGUGGAAACUGAAGUGCUAGAGUGCAGUAGGGGUAGAGGGAAUUCCCGGUGUAGCGGUGAAAUGCGUAGAGAUCGGGAAGAACAUCGGUGGCGAAAGCGCUCCGCUGGACUGCAACUGACACUCAGGGACGAAAGCUAGGGGAGCGAAUGGG